rnacentral:lncRNA from 1 species
UCUUUUUACAGGGAAAUGUGCCACAUACCCAUCUUCAGAGUCUAUCUCUUUUGCUGGCAGACAGGAUAGUUCUUGGCAUUUUGUGCCCUGGUGCAAGAGGAAUAUGCCUAGAUUCAGCCAAUAUCUACAUUGCUGCAGCUCUCAAAUAUCACUAAUUUCAUGGACCCAUGUGACCAACUCAGGUAAGCAUGUGGGGAUAUCUGCUUAUUAAUUCCGAUCAUCUUUUGAACCCAGAAGGGAGCCCUAAAGGGCAUCGACAUGUACUGCUUUAAUACCCCCUUCAAACUGUCACAGGACUGUGCCUGUUGCAGACAUCCCUUCAUUAGGCCGGGUUUCCAUUGACUUCCUGCCUACUGUAUGGCUAGGACAUUGGCUGCCGUCCAUGAGUCAGUAAAAACCCAAACAUAGGAGCUUUACCACUGUUCAAUUCUUCCAUCUCUGCUAGGGAAACAUCAUGCAAUUCAGCCCACCAGGCUGAUUUGUUAUUACCCUAUUCAAUCAGAGUGACAUCUUUUGAAAUAGAAUAUUGUCUGUUCACCUCAAAACUUCCAGCCACAAGCCAAGUAUCUGUUUAUUGGUCAGUGGAGGAUUGUUUAUAGGGAACUGUCCAAUUAUGUUUAAACCCAGCUGCUCCUCGCACAGUUUCAGAGUCAGUCCUGGGAGAAAAGAGGCUUCCUGCUUGUGAAUAUCUCCUUGCAUUUCUCAGGAUUCCAGUAGUCAGCAGAGUAAACAGAAAACCCACAGAAUGGGAGAAAAUCUUCACAAUCUAUACAUCUGACAAAGGACGAAUAUCCAGAAUCUACAAUGAACUGAAACAAAUCAGCAAGAAAAAAUACAAACAAUCCCAUGAAAAAGUGGGCUAAGGACACGAGUAGACAAUUCUCAAAAGAAGAAAUACGAAUGGCCAACAAACACAUGAAAAAAUGCUCAGCAUCACUAAAGAUCAGGGAAAUGCAAAUUAAAAUCACAAUGUGAUACCACCUUACUUCUGCAAGAAUGGCCAUAAUCAAAAAAUUUAAAACAAAACAAUAGAUGUUGGCAUGGAUGUGGUGAUCAGGGAACACUUCUAAACUGCUACUGGGAAUGUAAACUAGUACAGCUACUAUGGAAAACAGUGUGAAGAUUCCUUAAAGAACUAAAAGUAGAACUACCAUUUGAUUCAGCAAUCCCAGUACUGGGUAUCAACCCAGAGGAAAAGAAGUCAUGA